rnacentral:rRNA from 1 species
AAAUUGAAGAGUUUGAUCAUGGCUCAGAUUGAACGCUGGCGGCAGGCCUAACACAUGCAAGUCGAACGGUAACAGGAAGCAGCUUGCUGCUUUGCUGACGAGUGGCGGACGGGUGAGUAAUGUCUGGGAAACUGCCUGAUGGAGGGGGAUAACUACUGGAAACGGUGGCUAAUACCGCAUAACGUCGCAAGACCAAAGAGGGGGACCUUCGGGCCUCUUGCCAUCAGAUGUGCCCAGAUGGGAUUAGCUUGUUGGUGAGGUAACGGCUCACCAAGGCGACGAUCCCUAGCUGGUCUGAGAGGAUGACCAGCCACACUGGAACUGAGACACGGUCCAGACUCCUACGGGAGGCAGCAGUGGGGAAUAUUGCACAAUGGGCGCAAGCCUGAUGCAGCCAUGCCGCGUGUAUGAAGAAGGCCUUCGGGUUGUAAAGUACUUUCAGCGGGGAGGAAGGUGUUGUGGUUAAUAACCACAGCAAUUGACGUUACCCGCAGAAGAAGCACCGGCUAACUCCGUGCCAGCAGCCGCGGUAAUACGGAGGGUGCAAGCGUUAAUCGGAAUUACUGGGCGUAAAGCGCACGCAGGCGGUCUGUCAAGUCGGAUGUGAAAUCCCCGGGCUCAACCUGGGAACUGCAUUCGAAACUGGCAGGCUUGAGUCUUGUAGAGGGGGGUAGAAUUCCAGGUGUAGCGGUGAAAUGCGUAGAGAUCUGGAGGAAUACCGGUGGCGAAGGCGGCCCCCUGGACAAAGACUGACGCUCAGGUGCGAAAGCGUGGGGAGCAAACAGGAUUAGAUACCCUGGUAGUCCACGCCGUAAACGAUGUCUACUUGGAGGUUGUGCCCUUGAGGCGUGGCUUCCGGAGCUAACGCGUUAAGUAGACCGCCUGGGGAGUACGGCCGCAAGGUUAAAACUCAAAUGAAUUGACGGGGGCCCGCACAAGCGGUGGAGCAUGUGGUUUAAUUCGAUGCAACGCGAAGAACCUUACCUGGUCUUGACAUCCACAGAACUUUUCCAGAGAUGGAUUGGUGCCUUCGGGAACCGUGAGACAGGUGCUGCAUGGCUGUCGUCAGCUCGUGUUGUGAAAUGUUGGGUUAAGUCCCGCAACGAGCGCAACCCUUAUCCUUUGUUGCCAGCGGUUAGGCCGGGAACUCAAAGGAGACUGCCAGUGAUAAACUGGAGGAAGGUGGGGAUGACGUCAAGUCAUCAUGGCCCUUACGACCAGGGCUACACACGUGCUACAAUGGCGCAUACAAAGAGAAGCGACCUCGCGAGAGCAAGCGGACCUCAUAAAGUGCGUCGUAGUCCGGAUUGGAGUCUGCAACUCGACUCCAUGAAGUCGGAAUCGCUAGUAAUCGUGGAUCAGAAUGCCACGGUGAAUACGUUCCCGGGCCUUGUACACACCGCCCGUCACACCAUGGGAGUGGGUUGCAAAAGAAGUAGGUAGCUUAACCUUCGGGAGGGCGCUUACCACUUUGUGAUUCAUGACUGGGGUGAAGUCGUAACAAGGUAACCGUAGGGGAACCUGCGGUUGGAUCACCUCCUUACCUUAAAG